GCUUAUACUCGACCGUCAGCGGCACGUGCGAUCGCGAAAGCGAUCACGAAGCCCUGACGAGUAGGAGGGUCGCGGCGGUGAGCGCAGAAGGGCUGGCCGCGAGGCCGUCUGGAGCCGCCGUCGGUGCAGAUCUUGGUGGUAGUAGCAAAUACUCCAGCGAGGCCCUGGAGGACUGACGUGGAGAAGGGUUUCGUGUGAACAGCCGUUGCACACGAGUCAGUCGAUCCUAAGCCCUAGGCGAAAGCCGAUGUCGAUGCGGCGUAGCUUUAUUAUAAUAUUAUUUUUUAAAUAACGCACACACCCGUCGGGCGAAAGGGAAUCCGGUUCCUAUUCCGGAACCUGGCAGCGGAACCGUAAAAAAGUCGGGC
rnacentral:rRNA from 1 species